rnacentral:rRNA from 1 species
GACGAACGCUGGCGGCGUGCUUAACACAUGCCAGUCGAACGGAAAGGCCUGCUUUCCCUUGUGGAUUGCGGGUACUCGAGUGGCGAACGGGUGAGUAACACGUGAGUGAUCUGCCCCCAACUUGGGUAUAAGCCUGGGAAACUGGGUCUAAUUCCCGAUAGGACUGCAGGGUGGUGCCUGUGGUGGAAAACGAUUUUCUAGUGGUUGGGGAUGAGCUCGCGGCCUAUCAGCUUGUUGGUGGGGUAAUGGCCUACCAAGGCGGCGACGGGUAGCCGGCCUGGGGGGGUGGGCGGCAGCAGUGGGACUGAGACACGGCGCAGACUACUACGGGAGGCAGCAGUGGGGAAUAUGGCACGAUGGGCGGAAGACUGAGGCAGCGACGCCGCGUGGGGGAUGACGGCCUUCGGGUGGUAAACUCCUUUCGACAGCGAGGAAGCCACCUGGUUGGAAGGGUGGUGACGGUAGUGGUAGAAGAAGCACCGGCUAACUACGUG